rnacentral:rRNA from 1 species
ACACUGACGUCGCGACGCAUAUCAAUAAGCGGAGGAAAAGAAACUAACAAGGAUUCCCUUAGUAACGGCGAGUGAAGCGGGAAGAGCUCAAAUUUGAAAUCUUCAAGGUUCUACCUUGACGAAUUGUAGUUUAAAGAAGUGUUUUCUGUUAGUGAAGUCGGCUAAAAGUUCUUUGGAAUAGGACAUCAUAGAGGGUGAGAAUCCCGUAUUUGGUCAUUCCUUCUAGCUUUGUGAUACACUUUCAAAGAGUCGGAUUGUUUGGGAAUGCAGUCCAAAAUGGGUGGUAAAUUUCAUCUAAAGCUAAAUAUUGGCGAGAGACCGAUAGCGAACAAGUACCGUGAGGGAAAGAUGAAAAGAACUUUGAAAAGAGAGUUAAACAGUACGUGAAAUUGUCAAAAGGGAAGCGUUUGACACCAGUGUUGUUUUUCCGAAAAUCAAUUAUAAAUGUUUUGUUUCUGAGGAGUGAUGACUUCAUCGGCUUCCUUCUCUCUUACGAAACUUUUGUAAUGCACUUUUCGGUUAACAAGUCAACAUCAAUUUCUUUUGUUGUAAAAGAGUAUUCGGAAGGUGGCUUUCUUUUCGGAGAAAGUGUUUAUAGCCCUAUACUUCUACAAUCGGAGAGAUUGAGGUCUGCAGCGUAGAUCCUUCGGGGUUAGAUACAGUUUGUGCUAAGUUAUAGCCUUUCAUAGACAACUUGUUGACUAUGAUCAGUCAUGUAGCUUACUCGCUUAUGCUAUUUUACCUACGCUUAGGAUGUUGAGUCGUAGAGCACGCAG